AAGUUUUUCAUGAGAUUUGGCUACUCUCUGUUUUCAUCUUACAAGCGGACCAUCCAGAGUUAGUUCCUACACUUAAUAGGUUCAACAGCAUUUGUGACUAACUUCACAAACAAUGCUAGUGCACUUCAAAAGCAAACAUCUUCAGUCAUUCACCAUGCAUCAGAAGUUUCUUUCUCAGCAUAUUCCUUUAUAUCUACCAUUGAAU
rnacentral:misc_RNA from 1 species